rnacentral:sRNA from 1 species
GCAGGUAUUAUUAGCCCUAUGACUUGCCGAGCUAUACAGCAAGUAAAGGUAGACUCAGGAAUGAAAACCCAGACUCCUGGCUUCUUGUCAGUGUUCUGCCCAUGGCUCUCAUCACUAGACCAUAUUUCCUAAUUCAUAUUUGGAAAGUCACUAAUAAAAUUAAUGGUAGGAACUGUAACUCACAUCAUACAUUAUUAUAAUUUAUACAUUCAUAUCUUAAAGACCAUUUUGGUUUUCGUGUUAAAACACAUAGGUAAUUGGAUUUCACAUUUUGGUUGCAUUCAUUUUUCGCCCCCCUCAACCUUUACAGGUUAUUUUCUUUUAUUUGAGCUGUGUUCCAAAGACCCAGCAUUCCAAAACCUUGGAACGGUUUUGUUCAAUUAUGCCAGCUAAUUCUGGACUUGCAUUGAGGUUACUUCAACACGAAUGGGAAGAAAGCAAUGUUCAGAUUCUGAAACUUCAAGCCAAGAUGUUUACAUAUAAUAUCCCAACAUGCCUGGCCACCUGGAAAAUGUAAUGCAACAAUCAUGUACAUGUUUUUAUAGCUAUUGCUUUUAUUUAUAAGGUUUGCUCCAGACAGGUAAAUCUGAAAUGACAUCUAUAUAUAUAUAUAUAUAUAUAUAUUUUUUUUUUUUUUUUUCCUGGACAGAUUGCUAUUCUUAAUUUAGAUUUGUUUUUAGCAUUUACUGAGGUUUAAUGAGAGUGAGUACUCAUUAAGAAUAGCCUCUAAAAGCAAAAAGCGUAGAC